CCUACGGGAGGCAGCAGUAGGGAAUCUUUCACAAUGGGCGAAAGCCUGAUGGAGCAACGCCGCGUGCAGGAGUAAGGCCUUCGGGUUGUAAACUGCUUUUAUAAGCGAGAAAUAUGAUGGUAACUUAUGAAUAAGGAUCGGCUAACUACGUGCAGGCAGCCGCGGUCAUACGUAGGAUCCGAGCAUUAUCCGGAGUGACUGUGUGUAAAGAGUUGCGUAGGUGGGAUAAUAAGUAGCUAGUGAAAUCUGGUGGCUCAACCAUUCAGACUAUUGGCUAAACUGUUAAGCUCGAGACCGUUAGGGGUAACUGGAAUGUCUAGUGUAGGAGUGAAAUCCGUAGAUAUUAGAAGGAACACCAAUAGCGUAGGCAGGUUGCUGGGACGGUUCUGACACUAAGGCACGAAAGCGUAGGGAGCAAACGGGAUUAGAUACCCCGGUAGUC
rnacentral:rRNA from 1 species